AGUAUCUUUAAAACAGUCCUGAGAGGCUGGCAAGAUAAACAUUAUCAAUUUUACAUUAUUAUCGGAUAAGUGUGACUUCUUGCUGGUGCAAGAAGUCUUUUUUAUU
rfam:Clostridiales bacterium GWB2_37_7 gwb2_scaffold_4392, whole genome shotgun sequence.